rnacentral:rRNA from 1 species
AUACGGAGGGUGCAAGCGUUACUCGGAAUCACUGGGCGUAAAGAGAGUGUAGGUGGUUUAUUAAGUCGGAUGUGAAAUCCCGGGGCUCAACCUCGGAACUGCAUUCGAUACUGAUAGGCUAGAGUUUGGGAGGGGUAAGCGGAAUUCCGUGUGUAGCAGUGAAAUGCGUAGAUAUACGGAGGAACACCUGAGGCGAAGGCGGCUUACUGGACCAAUACUGACACUGAGACUCGAAAGCGUGGGUAGCAAACAGGAUUAGAUACCCUAGUAGUCC